UGCAUAUCUGUCCUGCCUCUCUGCUCCCAGCCGUUAAGAGGCCAGUGUUGAUCAGUGGCUGUCCAGACCUUUCACAGCCACUGACACGCCGCCGGCAGCACAAUGAUGAUGUCACUGACUCUACUGCUGGCCACCCUGGGGCUCCUUGUUCAGGGUUCGUCAGGACAAAUCAUCCUGACUCAGUCUCCUGGAUCUCAGUCUGUUGUUCCAGGACAGACUGUCUCCAUCAGAUGUAAAACCAGUUCAAGAGUUUAUAACGACCUCCAGUGGUACCUUCAGAAAUCUGGAGAAGCUCCUAAACUCCUGAUUUAUUAUGCUACAAGCCUUCAGCCUGGAGUUUCAGAUCGUUUUAGUGGAAGUGGAUACGGCACUGACUUCACUCUGGCCAUCAGUGGAGUUCAGGCUGAAGAUUCAGGAGUUUAUUACUGUCAGCAGGAUAACAGCUGGCCACUCACACAGUGAU